GGCGGACGGGUGAGUAACGCGUGAGUAACCUGCCCUUAGGAACGGGAUAGCGUCUGGAAACGGACGGUAAUACCGUAUAAAGUAUUCUGACCGCAUGAUCGGAAUACCAAAGCUCCGACGCCUAAGGAUGGACUCGCGUCUGAUUAGAUAGUUGGUGGGGUAACGGCCUACCAAGUCGACGAUCAGUAGCCGGACUGAGAGGUUGAACGGCCACAUUGGGACUGAGACACGGCCCAGACUCCUACGGGAGGCAGCAGUGGGGAAUAUUGCACAAUGGGGGAAACCCUGAUGCAGCAACGCCGCGUGAAGGAAGACGGUUUUCGGAUUGUAAACUUCUGUUCUUAGUGAAGAAUAAUGACGGUAGCUAAGGAGCAAGCCACGGCUAACUACGUGCCAGCAGCCGCGGUAAUACGUAGGUGGCAAGCGUUGUCCGGAAUUACUGGGUGUAAAGGGAGCGUAGGCGGGAAGCCAAGUCAGCUGUGAAAACUACGGGCUUAACCUGUAGACUGCAGUUGAAACUGGUUUUCUUGAGUGAAGUAGAGGUUGGCGGAAUUCCGAGUGUAGCGGUGAAAUGCGUAGAUAUUCGGAGGAACACCGGUGGCGAAGGCGGCCAACUGGGCUUUAACUGACGCUGAGGCUCGAAAGUGUGGGGAGCAAACAGGAUUAGAUACCCUGGUAGUCCACACUGUAAACGAUGAUAACUAGGAGUGGGGGGGUCUGACCCCCUCUGUGCCGCAGCUAACGCAAUAAGUUAUCCACCUGGGGAGUACGACCGCAAGGUUGAAACUCAAAGGAAUUGA
rnacentral:rRNA from 1 species